UACGUAGGGGGCUAGCGUUGUCCGGAAUCAUUGGGCGUAAAGCGCGUGUAGGCGGCCCGGUAAGUCCGCUGUGAAAGUCGGGGGCUCAACCCUCGAAUGCCGGUGGAUACUGUCGGGCUCGAGUACGGGAGAGGCGAGUGGAAUUCCUGGUGUAGCGGUGAAAUGCGCAGAUAUCAGGAGGAACACCGGUGGCGAAGGCGGAUCUCUGGGCCAGUACUGACACUGAGGAGCGAAAGCGUGGGUAGCAAACAGG
rnacentral:rRNA from 1 species